rnacentral:lncRNA from 1 species
CACGCCCCCCGCGCCUCGCCAAUCCGGCGGCCAAGAGCCCAAGACUGCCAAGCACGGACCUCCUAUAAAGAAAGAAGAACGGACCGGAGGAGGAGCCACCCCCGAACCCCGGUGACAGUGAUCCCCAGACCUCCCGCUCGGCUCCGCUCCGAACCACGACCUUUCGCCAACAUGGCCCGCCUCGGCCUCCGGCGAUUUCUGCCGCCGAUGCUCCUCCUCGUCCUCUUCGUCGCGGUGGAGGCGGCGGGGAAGGGCGACGGCGGGCUGCGGUUUCGGCGGGAGAACGGCACGUUCAAGGUGCUGCAGGUGGCGGACAUGCACUACGCGGACGGGCGGAGCACACAGUGCAGGGACGUGCUGCCCGCGCAGCGCCCCGCCUGCUCCGACCUCAACACCACCGCCUUCCUCUACCGCCUCCUCCGCGCCGAGGACCCCGACCUCGUCGUCUUCACCGGUACGCCACGCCAGUCCACCCACCUACCCACCACUCCAGUAAUCGACUCGAUGCCACUGCUAGCGUCCUCUCAGUUUUGCAUUCAGCAACUUUAGAAACGGUUUACUACUGUACUAAUGUUAGAGAAGAUUGGUUCAAAAUGCAUUUGGUUGUGCUAUACUGCUAGAAAAGUUUGGUUGAAAAUGCAUUUGCACUGAUGAUAAUUGUUGCCACCCCCAAUGCAUUUGGUGUAAUGAUGAUUCAUAUAGGUAAUUUUAUUGCCACAAUGUUUAUUUUUCUGCGAAAAAGGGGAGACCCGGCCUCUGCAUCUUCAUAGCAGGAGUUUGGACACAAUGUUGCAAAAACUAAAAAGUCUUAAAAGAGUGUGGUGUCCAACCAAAAACAAAUACGCCUACAUGAUCCACAAUGUUUCUUGGGCAGGUGAUAACAUUUUUGGCGAGGAUUCAACCGAUGCGGCCAAGUCGAUGGAUGCGGCGAUCGCUCCGGCCAUUGCCAUGAAACUUCCCUGGGCUGCUGUGCUCGGCAACCAUGACCAAGAGGGUACGCUGUCGCGCGAGGGCGUGAUGCGCCACCUUGUAGGCAUGAAGAACACCCUUGCACGCUUCAAUCCACAAGGAGUAGAAAUCGAUGGCUACGGAAACUAUAAUCUGGAGGUUGCAGGGGUUAAAGGAACACUGCUGGCUAACAAAUCAGUGCUCAACCUGUAUUUUCUUGACAGUGGUGACUAUUCUACUGUGCCAUCGAUUCACGGCUAUGGCUGGAUCAAGGCUUCACAGGAAGCUUGGUUCAAGCAAACCUCUUCGAGUCUCCAGGUGAAUUUGUCACCAUCUUGGUGCACUCUGCAAUUUUUUAUCAAUAAUUAUUCUGUCGACGCAAGGCAAGAAAUUUAUGCAAAUUCAAAAUAGAUGAUAGGUCUGUUAGCAGGCACUGUAUUCAGUUCCGAAUACAAUUGGUCUCAAAAUGUUUUGCACGUUAAAUAUAGAGAGAUAAAAGAAGCUGAUGGAAUGGAAGUAGUUCAAGUACCGCAAGCUAAUUUUGUUGGUGCUAUGUACAUAUUUUAUGUUAGAAACUAGAAUAACAAAAGUUCAUAUGAAAUGCAGCAAAACUAUACGGGUGGACAACCCAGACAGAAGGAGCCAGCACCUGGUCUUGCUUACUUCCACAUUCCCUUGCCGGAGUUCAACAACUUCACGGCAUCAAAUUUCACAGGAGUAAAGCAGGAGAAUGGUAUCAGCUCGGCGUUGAUCAACUCCGGCUUCUUUAACACCAUGGUGGAAGCUGGAGAUGUGAAGGCUGCCUUUGUAGGACAUGAUCACUUAAACGACUUCUGUGGUAAGCUCGCUGGUAUUCAGCUGUGCUAUGCUGGUGGCUUCGGUUACCAUGCGUAUGGGAUGGCCGGGUGGUCAAGGAGAGCAAGGGUGGUGUCUGUGCAACUUGAGAAGGCAGCGAGCGGCGAGUGGCAAGGCGUGAAGUCUAUCAACACAUGGAAGAGGCUUGAUGAUCAACAUCUCACCACAAUUGACUCUGAGGUGUUAUGGAACAGAAGCUCUAAUAGUUGAGGUACUCAACUAUGCAUGAGCAUGGCGCUGCUAUUUCUAGCUUGCAUAAUGAACAUAUAUUUUCGGAACCCACAACUUAUCUAAGACUUGCAGGUUGACAGGGAGGCGCCAGAAGAACAAUGAUGGAAGCGGAUCUUGUCUGUUGUUGAUGCGCAGCUUAUCUUGAAGAGUUUGUAACUACGUGAAUGAACACACACCGCAUGCCGCAUGUAUACGCAAAGUUUUCACCAUUAUUAUUUUUCAUGUCAAGAAAAAAAAUUGGACCAUGAAUGGAUCUAAUGUAACGCAGUAAAGAUGACACUCUUUGCAAUUGAGCUCAUAUGUCAAAUGGAAAUGAGAAUACCAAUGCCAAUGCAGCCUUUAUUUUUUUCUCAUAAGUUUAUUACUUGCAAGGUGUUUUGAACUGUAGAGUAGAAGCAAGAUAAUCCACAAAUUAUUUGUGUCAUGUUGCAUGAGACUUGUUACAGAUGCUGCGACGAUGUUAGGUAUAUACAAGAUUUUACUCCUCUUUCUACCUAGCCUACCCCUUCACAUUUAACGCGAAUAUGCAAUGAUCAACACCUCCCCCCACGCCCUAUGUGGGCGUGGAUAAAUGAUUGAGGUAAAUACAGGAACUGAGACUUGAACCCAAGACCUCAACUCUGAUACCAUGUUAAGAUAUGCUCCCUCCUUUCCAAAACAUUUGUCGUGAUUUUAGUUCAAAUUUGAACUAAAACCACAACAAAUAGUAUUUUGGAAGUGGGGGAGUUCCUAUCAACCUAGUUGAUAGGCACUCCCUCCAUUCCAAAACCUGGGAAGCUCUCGGGUUUUUCUUUCAAUGAGCAAAGCAGAAUAUCCAGGGUGCUGCUAGUAAGGAUUCUAAUAGCCAACAUUUUGGCAAAGAGGGUCGUCCUCAUGACCCUACAUGCCAGCAUUGCCUUUGCGCCCUCGAGACCCCUACUCACUUAGCAGAUAUUGCCCCUUCACCACUGCGAUGGGCAUGGGGUCACUUCCACUCAGCAUGUCUUGAAUUUCCCGUCUAUUGAUGCCUAGUGUGAUGCAUUCCUCACCGAGGCAGCGAAGAAUGAGACGUGUCGGCUAAGCGAUCGCUUCCUCUAUGUGAUUUGGAACGUAUGAAAAGAGAGGGACCAAAGGAUCUUCAGCGCGAGUUCGCUUUCGGAACGCANNNNNNNNNNNNNNNNNNNNNNNNNNNNNNNNNNNNNNNNNNNNNNNNNNNNNNNNNNNNNNNNNNNNNNNNNNNNNNNNNNNNNNNNNNNNNNNNNNNNNNNNNNNNNNNNNNNNNNNNNNNNNNNNNNNNNNNNNNNNNNNNNNNNNNNNNNNNNNNNNNNNNNNNNNNNNNNNNNNNNNNNNNNNNNNNNNNNNNNNNNNNNNNNNNNNNNNNNNNNNNNNNNNNNNNNNNNNNNNNNNNNNNNNNNNNNNNNNNNNNNNNNNNNNNNNNNNNNNNNNNNNNNNNNNNNNNNNNNNNNNNNNNNNNNNNNNNNNNNNNNNNNNNNNNNNNNNNNNNNNNNNNNNNNACUGCGCAUGGGCAGGGCCUUUCCGUGAUUCUCACAUAGAGGGUGUUUGUUUCCAGGGACUUUUUGGUGUAGGGACUAAAAAAAGUCAUCUUAGAGACUUUUUAACCAAACAUGAGGGAGUACUAGGGACUAAAAGUUGCUUUUUGGGACUAAAUGAAGAAGACUCUCAAGGAGAGACUUUUUUGGGACUUUUCCAACAAUGCCCCUCCCUGUACCCAUUGCCCCGCUGCUCCAUGGUGUUGUUUGGUUGUUAUUUUUCUGUAUACUAGGGGUAACAUGGUCAUUUAAUAAUCUCUAGGGAGGGACUAGGGACUUUUUAGUCCCUGAAAACAAACAUGGAGGAACUUUUUAGGGACUAGGAACUUUUCAGUUGGGACUAGAAAAAGUCCUAGUACUUAUGAACCAAAUAGGGCUAUAGUUCCUUUCUCUGUUUUGGCUUUUCGGGAUUUGGAGCAUUCCCCUAAAAAACAUGGUGCCUCUUGUAAAUACAUGUGCAUCUCUUCUAUCUAGAUGCAAAGGUAGCGCGUUGCUCGAAAAAAUAAUUAAAAAUGGUCGUGGCUAGCUCUCAUCUACCCCUUGUCGGUUCUAUAUCCGGCAUAUCUCAUAGUAGGGGUCCUAAGGUAGGCGUCUUGGAGCGAUGAUAACACGGACACAGGGUUUUUACCCAGGUACGGGCUCUCUCAAAGAUAUAAUACCCUACAUCCUGCUUUUGAUUGUAUUCAUAUGGGGGAUAGUACAUAGUACAUGCAUCUACCACGUGAUUGUUUUAAUGAAUAUUAGAUGUUCUAUUGACUAGCCUGGCCUCAGUUUAUAUACACACCGGAGGCCUAGGGUUUUAGGAGAGUCCUUGGCUUGAGCGCCAAGUCUUGUGGACUCUACUUCGUAUGCGGUAUGGGCUGCCUAAAGUGGUGCCCCAUUAGUGAACCGCCAUGGGGUCCUCGGCCCGACCCAUAGGUCAGGAGACGAUGUGCUGAGUACCCCCUAGUCCAGGACACCGUCACCCCCUCCCUUCACAAGUAUAAGAUAUUUUAAAUAUUUUAAUAUAAACUGCAUACGAACUGGAAUAAGCGAAACAAGCACACUAAAAUGUGCCUCAUCCAAUUUAGAGACAAAAAUAGAAUAUUUAUAUUGGUGAACAGAGGUAGUAGAUGAGAAAUAAUUGUGUCUCAUCUAACUCCUACCAUAUAACUCACGGAUAGACCAACCAAGACGCCAGCAGCCGCCUCCUUCUCCUUCAAGAAAGAAAGUUAGGGUCCGUGCCUCUCGCCGGCGUCGGCACAUGUCCGUCUCGUCUCUGGUGGCCGUAGGGCCAUGGAGGCGCGGUGGAUCCUGACAAGGUCCGGCGGGAGGGCUCCGUUUUGAGUCGUUUUUUCAAUGUUGUUAGGGUUUGUGUCCUUCUCAAAAAGGCAAGGUGAUGGCGGCUCCCUGAAGAUGGAAUAAAGGUAUCCCAGUCUAGCCCCCGUUUUGGGGUGCAUCUAGAAUCGUUGGUGGGCAUGUGAAGGUGUGUCUCCAGCAGAUCUAUCUUUGGUGGAUUUGUUCGGAUCUCGUCGUUGUUCGUCUACGUUCGUGUGUCUCCGGUUUUGAUCCUUCCGAUCUACAUUAUUAUUCAUCGGCGGCGGUUACUGUUCUGGGGUGCUAAUCCUAUAUAUGGGGUCUUAGCACGGCGACAUCCCGACUGUCUACUACAACAAGUUGUGCCCGACUCCAGCGAUGGAAAGGCGAUGACGGCGGCGCGUCUUCGGCUCGCUUCAGUACUUGUAGUCGUCGCUAGGUGGUCUACGGAUCUGGAUAUAAUUUGUAUUUCUGGUGUUCGUUGUACUGUUAUGAUUGAAGAAGAAUAGAUUGAAAGUUUGCCAAAAAAAACAACAUAGGACUUAGACAAGACUUCAUUAAGAGGGUGUUUGUUUCCAGGGAUUUAUUGGUUUAGGGACUUAAAAAAGUCCCUAUAAGUUCCACCUAAACCAAACACAAGGGACUUAUUGGGACUUAUUAUGGUGAUUUGAGACUUAUCAAAUAAGACUCUCAGGGAGGAGUUUAUUGGGACUUAUUCCGGGCCGGACCUACCCCGCAUCGCUCCAGGCUCGUUCCCCGCACGACGCCUGCCUCUUGGUCCAAUCGCCGCCGCCGCCCCGCCUCUCGCCCCGUCGCCGCCCCGCCUCUCGCCCCGUCGGCCUCGGUUCGCCGCCCCAUCGCCGCCCCGCCUCGGUUCGCUCUGCUUCGGUUUGUUGCAGUGGUGCCUCCAAUCGCUGGACAUGCCCUCUCCUGAGCCUCGUUGCAGCGGUGCAACAUGGACUUAUAAGUCCCUAUAAACAAACAGGUAGGGACUCGGGACUUAUAAGUCCCUGUAAACAACCAGGUAAGGACUUAUGACUUAUAAAUUGGGACUUAAAAAAGUCCUAGGACUUAUUAAACAAACAAGGCCUAAUUCUGAAUUGGCAAAUCCGAUUCAAAAUAGAAGCCGGGGCAAGACGAAUAUGCGACGGCAGGAUGGAAUAAGCUGCGCAUUUCAGACGCGGAGUUUUGGCUCCCGGGCUCAUCUGUACCCAUGCUUAGAAAAAAAUUCAAAACAAAUACUAAAAAAAUUCAAAAAAAUUCAAUUUUUUUGUGGUGGUAGAUAAUUUGAUGGGUGAGGUGCGCCCCAAAAAUCAACUCAUUUGAGCAACUAAGCAGCUCUCGGCAAAAAAGACAAAAUCAGGGUCUGUAAAAAUGUGUACCGUUCACGCACUGUUUUGACCCGAUUUGUCUUUUUUGUCGAGAGCUGCUCAGAUGUUCAAAUGAGUUGAAUUUUGAGGUGCACCUUACGCGUCAAAUUAUCUACCACCAUAAAAAGAUUUGGAAUUUUUUGAAUUUUCUCAGUAUUUUUUUUAAAUUUUUUUACUGAGCGGGAGCAGAGGAGCCCGGGCUCCACGAUGAAUUAUCGGCGCAUUUCUUUCUUCCUUUCGUGCACCCCCCGCUCCCUCUCCGUCUGCCCCGGCGCGCACCGCAGCCAACGGACUCCAUCCCUGUACGUACGGCAUCCCAGCUGAACUGUGGGUAUCCAUCCCUACCCCCCGCACACCGCACAAUAAAAAACUCGCCGGCGUCGGCGUCGGCGUCGGCGGGCUCACGUCAAACCGCCCUCAAUCUCACCGUGCGCUCGCCGCCAAACGCGAACUGCCAGGCGCCUGGCCACGUUGGCCAGAUCCUCCUAUAAAGAACAGAAAUCCACCGCAACCACAAAUCGCUACUUUCGCCAGCAAACAGUGAUCCCCCGGUUAUAUUUCCCACGCCGCGCCGCUCUAGCCAGCUGCACCCUCGGCCGGCAUGGCCCGCCUCGCUCUCCGGCGCUUUCCGCCGCCGAUGCUUCUCCUUCUCCUCGCCCUCUUCCUCGUCGCGGCGGCGGCGGCAGGGAAGGGAAAGAAGAGGGGCGGCGGCGGGCUGCGGUUCCGGCGGGAGGGCGGCACGUUCAAGGUGCUGCAGGUGGCGGACAUGCACUACGCGGACGGGCGGAGCACCGCGUGCGAGGACGUGCUGCCCGAGCAGGUCGCCGGCUGCUCCGACCUCAACACCACCGCCUUCCUCUACCGCGUCAUCCGCGCCGAGGACCCAG